rnacentral:rRNA from 1 species
AUGCACCUGCAGGUCUCGACCGCAUCACUGACCUCUCAGGUUACACUGUCUACAGACAGGGAGAACUCCAUCUCCUGGCGUUGGACUCCCAAUGAAAUCUACUCCGCAGCUUCGACAUAUACAACCCAAUUCUCCGGCUCCUUCCCCAGGUUCUCGUCGACGAAGAUUUGGGAAGCACACGCGGAGCCCAAAUGCAAGCUCUUUUCCUGGCUGGUGCUCCAUGGCAAGAUCCUCAUGGCCGACAUGCUCGCUAUUCGCGGAUGGCCGCAUGAUCCUACAUGCCCGCUAUGCCUCGGAGCACCGGAGACGACAACUCACCUUUGCAAGGACUGUCCAUUUGCGAUUGCGGUUUGGUCGCAUGUCCAUGCAUGGACCGGCGAGGCGCCGAUGAACACGAUGACACUUCCGCCUCCCAUGGGAGUCUCCGACUGGUGGGAUCUGCUCAUCUCUCCCCUAUCCAGGUAUGAAAGACGCCGACGUAGCGGUCACUUCCUCUAG